rnacentral:lncRNA from 1 species
AGUAACAAAUGAACUGCUUUGGGGAAGAGCUGGAGCACUCAGUCGGUCAGUAGUACAGUAGCAGGCUCACAUGUGCGGAUUGUUUCUAUGAGGAGUAUCAUCAUGGGGUCUACUGCUACAGAAAUUGAAGAACUAGAAAACAGCACUUUUAAAUAUCUCAUAGGAGAACAGACUGAAAAAAUGUGGCAACGUCUGAAAGGCAUGUAAGUAAGCUCUUUGCUUGGUUCUGUGUUUUUAAUCCACCCCCAAAAUUAUUAUUUUUUGACUAUUAACAUGACGAAUUGUUGGUACUUUCUGACUUUGUGGACAAGUGCUUUUUUAAGAAAGAUUUUGUUUUGAAAACUAAAAUCUGUCUCAGCUAACAACUUGCUUGAAGGAUGUAUAGUUUUUUGCAUAGGUAUGUUUUAUGUCAAGUAACUCUCUGAGAAUUCACUCUUUUACUACAUGGCUUCUUUUCUACAUUCUGGAUGUGUUAUUUAGAUAUAUGGUUUAGAUAUGCAGAAAAGUAACUAGGAAAGCUGCUUGCCAGGGUACUUGCAGAAAUAAAAUUUCUCUCAGGUAGAAAGAGAGGUUACUACUGGUACUUAUUUCUUUGUGAUUAGAUUUUUGAAUAAGAAAGCAAGGACAGGGUUAGUAUGAUAAUAAACAGUUGUACUCCAUUGUGUCUUAAUAUUUUUUAAGAAAAAAUUUUUUUGUGUGGUAAAAAUACUAGAAGCAUACCAAACUUACUUCAGAGUUAUGGCUUAAAUUAACCAGUUCACUUCUGAGAAUAGUGCAUGGUGUAAAAUACUUUAGUAAGAUGGGUCAAGAAGUAUGCUUAUAUCAAGCAUUAAAUGUAAGUACUGAGUUAAACUUUAAUUGCAAUGCUAUUUACCUUGCUAUUUAAACAGCAUCUAAAUUUUUUUUAUGUGUAUGUUACUAAUUCCUGUUUAGUAUUCCAGCACACUGUUUACAUGCUUUAUUUUAAUUAUGUCAUGAUUUUUAAAUCAGAUUUACUGUUUGGAUAAAAAUGUGAAAUAUGAAUAUUUACAGGCCAUUGCAAUUGCUUAGCAUAUUUAUAGACCUCAAAUGAAAAUAUAUUUGCUUUUCUAUAAUAAUAGCUGAAGAAAUCCUAUACCAUGAGAAAGAGUAAUUUUCUAGGAUUUUUAUUUCUAAUGUUAUGUCUAUAGAUUAUUGUAUAACAUGCAACAUUUGAAUAAAUGUCAUGUUGCUGCUUUGAUAUCUAUGAUUUUUUAAAGAAAAAUUGUAUCAAACUUUGUUAGGUAAAAAGUCCUUCUACUUUCUUCCAUUUGCAUGUAUUUAAAUUAUGUUUGUUUAUUCAGUAUUCUUUAUUUUCUUAUACUUAAAGUAAUACAUGACAUUUAUAGUCCACUGGUAUAAGGGCACACUAAUAAUGCAGAUAACAUUUAACAGGGAAUAACUUUUAAAAGGAAGCCAUCUUUUCAUCAUUUGAAUAAAUUAGGUAUCUUUCCAAGAUUCAUUGUUUUUUUGUAGAGGUGGUUCUUUUGGGAAACAAAUACUUCUAUAAAAUCAAAUAACAGCUUACAAAAUUAAUCAGCAUGGGCGAAAAAUAAACUUUGGCAGUCAUCAGAUGAUUUGUAUCCUAACCUAAUGAGUGGAUGAACAUCUGUACCGGAAAAAUCAUAUCUCAUAUUACAACCUAUUGUAGAUUUUCUUCCCUUUUGCAAAACAAGAUGGUUUUGGAUUGUUUGUUUGUUUUGUAUCAUUUUUUUUGUUUUAUUUCACUCCAAUUACUUGAAUGUAUGAAGAUGUAUGGUAGUGAGCUCAUGCAUACAUCUUUAAAAAAUUUGAAAAUGAAUUUGUGUUUACCUAACAUGUUGGGGCAAAGUUAUCUGACUUUUACUUUAUCAGUUGAUCUCAAAGAUCAACCUCUCAUUUUAUUUCAGGAAAGGAUGAUAGAGUCAUUUAGAAGUAGAGCUUCAUACCUUGAUAUUCAACAUGGAUAUAAAAUUAAUUAUAUAUGAACCUAUAUGAAUUUUGGAUUGUGUCUACGUAGAGCUACUGAAUGACCAAAUACUGAUAACUAGUUUUUUUUUUUUUUUUAAAUAAUUACUACUGAACUGAUUGAAAUGCCUGAAUGCUUUUGCAUCAAAGAAAGAAGGAAUUUUCAUGCUGGUGCUACUAUUUUAACUUGUACUUUGACUUAAGACAUUUCCAGUAUUCUAGGUUUAGAAUUGUCAAAACAAUAAGCUCUAAAUCUAAAAUCUUCGUGACUAGUGACAACCAAAUUGUUUAAUUAUGGUCUUUUGUGUAGUCUGCAUUUAAAGCAGUGAUAGGGACUCCUGUUGCAUUGCUGAAAUUGUCUUGCCUAUUUAAAAUGUAAUAUUGACUCAAACAGAAUUUUAGCUUAUCAAAAUGUCUAGUUCUAGAAUUACAUUUUUAAGAUUGGUUAAGUAAGUAUUAAAAUCAAGUUACUCAUGAAAGCUUAUCAAAUAAUUUUGCAAUAGUUUUCUUAUUUUGGCAUAAAAGACUCAAUGAAGGCCUUUAGAUAUUUGUUUAGAAAGUGAUUUUUUGAUCUUUUAUUGUGAACUUUGAAAAUGCAUUGGUUUAUUUCAGUAAGAUAUUCUGUUCUUAGGUGGAUUUACAAUAUGUACCUUUUUGUGAGUAAAUAAAAAUAGAGACAAGAUUUAAAGUUAAAUAAGGUUUAUACUGAUAUAUCCUAAAUAUUGAAAACAUGAACCACUACAGGUAGAUAUUUACAGAAAAUAUUUUAUAGGCAUUUUCAUAUACCAUAAUACCUUAGAACUUUUUUCAGUCUAUUGAAAUAAUUUUCAAAUUUUGUAGUACCUUUGAAAAUGAUAAACUAAGUUGAAAUAUCAAUUCAUCUCUAACAUUUUGUUAAUUUCUUUCAUUGAGCUCCUUUUAAAUCUUCUUUAUAUAAUAUUUAAUUGAGACACCAUAUUCACUGAUGGGCUAAGAAAUCUUUUAUUCCUUUGUAGGAACAAAGGUGAAACAGUUUUAUCUCCCCAUUUCUAAUGUAGACUUGUAUGCUUUAUUCUAUUAGUUUUCUUUUUAUAGUUACGGUUUUUUUCUUUAGCUUUCUUCAAUCCAUCUUCUAUCCCUAAUUUGUCACUCAGUGUGACAAUUUAGAUUCUACGCAAUGACUCACCAUCUAUGAUGGUAGAAAUGUCAGCAAGUGACUAUGGCAUCAUGCCCCUCAUAAACUACAUUUAAAAAGAAUCAUAUAUUUGUCCCUAAGUUAUCAAUUGUUUCUAACUUGGAAAAACAUAUCCUAUUUCUUCUGCCAUCUCAAUACCUGAUGAAAUUUCUGGCUUAGAAGUUUCCUGUGACUCUGGGAUCAAUACUACUUCCUACAUACUGAGAACAUUUUUCUAACACUAAUCUAUGCAAAGAUUGUUAAGUUUAUUGAUUCCCAUGAAGAAAGUUGAUUCCAAAAUCUUAUAUUUGUUUUCAUUUAUGCAUAGUAUUUUUUAAUUUUAGAAAUAAUUCUUUUUGUGUCAUGAUACUGUUUUUUAGUGUUUGGUCUUUAAAUGUAAAAAGGGCUCUUCCACUGUGAAGUUUUGAAAAAUCAAAUAUAUUUUAAAAGAUUGGUGUUGCUUUUUCCAGUCAGUGCCACUGUUCUAAGAAUUUGAUCUAAGGGGUGACAGAAUUUCCAGAAAAUGGUGAGCAAGUAGCAAUUCCAUUGAAAACUACAUGGUAUUGUAGUAAAAACAAAAUCAGAAUGUUACUCAGUUUUUCAACAGAAGAAAAUUUGAACUGCUCAGAACCGCAAACUAUUGAUAAAAAUGUGAGAUUUACCACUCCAUAGGACUUACUGCCAGUUUCCUCAGUUUUUAUAAAUAUAAGAGCAUUUUACAGUUAGAACUCUUUGGUGGUAAAUAUGAUAUUCAGUAGUGGAAGAAUAAAAUGUGGAGGAGCAGAAAGUGAAGGAGAAAGGAAGAGCCGUAUAACAACAUUAUCCUAAUUUCAAUUAGCUGUUAUUAUAGAGGCAAGUGUGUUGUACAGUUCUAGAUGAAGUAGCUCAAACCCUCAUCACCAAGAAGAUGUACCAGAAAUAGAUAUUUAGAAUAGAAAUUGGUGAAAAGGUAAAAUGACAGGCGUUAUUAGCACCAUAUUCUCAACCUAGAAUUGUACUUUAGAAUGGAACAACUUUAUAACUUAGAAGCAAAUAUACCUGAUCCUUUUACUAUCCUGCUUCAAUUAUUUAGUGACCUCCCUUCAAAGUUCCGCAUCCUUCACAGGUCACCCUGUACCUGUUCAACUUUUGGAGCCUGCUCUUUUGUCUCGUCUGUGGCCCUCUCCCAUCCAAGCCCAGGGUUGCCCCAAAUAAAUGCUUCUUACUUCCCAUCUGUCUUUGCUCAUUUUCUUCUCUCUUCCAGGGGGAACCACUCCUUUCUCCUCUCUCAGCCAGGGUGUUCUUGCUUCCCAUGAGAUGUUGUAGGGAUGCUUCAGUACCUAAGGGUGUUUCUGCAUUCAGCAAGGUCCAGGGUGAUCAAAGUUCUCAAGAGCCUGGGACACUUCCUUAUCAGGAAGAACUGUCCUCCUCAAAAUUCUAAUAGAGGACCUCUUAAGAAAUGCUCAAAGAUGAGUUCCCACUGUGGCUCAGCAGCAACGAACCCAACUAGUGUCCAUGAGGAUUCGUGUUCUAUCCCUGGCCCCACUCAGUGGGUUAAGGAUCCAGCAUUGCCAUGGUAUAGGUUGAAAAUGUGGCUCAGAUCUGGCGUUGCUGUGGCUGUGGCAUAGGUGAGCAGCUGUAACUCUGAUUGACCCCUAGCCUGGGAACUUCCAUAUACUGC